AACACAAUCUGGGGGCAUGGGAGCAAGAUUCAUGGGCUGUUGGAGUUCUCCUACCUGCUGACUGGAUGUUGAAAGGGAUCCUGGGACAGGUGUGUGAACUGGUGACCAUCUAAAUUCUGCCUCCCUGGCUUCCCUGGUGGAUUCUUAACCACUGGACCACCAGGGAAGUCCCCUGCUUGCUGUUUUUCAAAACAGUUGUUGGGUGAAAUCACCCAAGGAAGUGAUUUCCUUCCUGCUAAGAUAUGCACCAUGAAUAUUUUCUAAGUAUGUAUGUGAAUGUGUGUGAUACAUGUGCUAAUUUAAUUUCCUUAGUGAAAUUCUGCAGAACAUCUGGGUCAAAGUGCAUUUUGCAUUAUCAAAGAGGAUGAAGCAGAGGGGAAAAAUAUGCACGACAGAGUCUUGACUUUUAAAUGAUUAUUCGUACAGUAUCAGUACACCAAGUAGUGACAUGCAACAAGUUCUUGAAUUCUAUCAUCUAGUAAUUUUAAAUAAGAGAAACCAAAA